AUUGAACGCUGGCGGCAGGCCUAACACAUGCAAGUCGAACGAGUGGCGGACGGGUGAGUAAUGUCUGGGAAACUGCCUGAUGGAGGGGGAUAACUACUGGAAACGGUAGCUAAUACCGCAUACCAUCAGAUGUGCCCAGAUGGGAUUAGCUUGUUGGUGGGGUAACGGCUCACCAAGGCGACGAUCCCUAGCUGGUCUGAGAGGAUGAAAAUCCAAACGGGAACUGAGACACGGUCCAGACUCCUACGGGAGGCAGCAGUGGGGAAUAUUGCACAAUGGGCGCAAGCCUGAUGCAGCCAUGCCGCGUUGAUGAAGAAGGCCUUCGGGUUGUAAAGUACUUUCAGCGGGGAGGCGUUACCCGCAGAAGAAGCACCGGCUAACGCCGUGCCAGCAGCCGCGGUAAUAC
rnacentral:rRNA from 1 species